rnacentral:rRNA from 1 species
UACGGAGGGGGCUAGCGUUGUUCGGAAUUACUGGGCGUAAAGCGCACGUAGGCGGCUUUGUAAGUUAGAGGUGAAAGCCCAGGGCUCAACCCUGGAAUUGCCUUUAAGACUGCAUCGCUUGAAUUGUGGAGAGGUAAGUGGAAUUCCGAGUGUAGAGGUGAAAUUCGUAGAUAUUCGGAAGAACACCAGUGGCGAAGGCGACUCACUGGACAUGUAUUGACGCUGAGGUGCGAAAGCGUGGGGAGCAAACAGG